rnacentral:lncRNA from 1 species
GGAACAGCACAAGAGGUUGUCUCAGCAAGCUGACGUGUACAGCUUCGGGGUGUUGCUGUUGGAAGUUCUCACAGGAAGAGCUCCUUCCUCGCAGUACCCUUCACCGGGUCGUCCCAGAAUGGAGGAAGAGGAACAGGCCGUGGUGGACCUUCCCAAAUGGGUUCGCUCCGUCGUGAAGGAAGAGUGGACCGCAGAGGUGUUUGACCAGGAGCUUUUGCGCUACAAGAACAUCGAGGAAGAGCUUGUGUCCAUGCUGCAUGUGGGUUUGGCCUGUGUUGUGGCGCAGCCGGAGAAGAGGCCAACUAUGGAAGAAGUUGUGAAAAUGGUUGAGGAGAUCAGGGUGGAGCAAUCGCCACUUGGGGAGGACUAUGAUGAAUCGCGCAAUUCGCUUUCACCUUCCAUUCCCACCACUGAAGAUGGUCUACCUUAGGAGUAUGUUCAAUUUUAUUGUAUGGUAUAUACAAGAUUAAUUAAUGUCAUAUUUACUUACUUUCACUGCAGUGAUCAGCUCCUCUUUCUGGUUGCAUUGUCUCAGUGCACAUUACCUUUUGCUGUUGCUAUAACUGUUCUUUGUAAAAUUUUGUGAGUUCUGUGGAAUUCCAUUGUUGAACG